rnacentral:rRNA from 1 species
CACGUAGGCACCAAGCGUUGUCCGGAUUUAUUGGGCGUAAAGAGCUCGUAGGCGGUUCAGUAAGUCAGGUGUGAAAUCUUUGGGCUUAACCCAAAGCGUGCACUUGAUACCGCUGUGACUUGAGUUCGGUAGGGGAGUGGGGAAUUCCUAGUGUAGCGGUGAAAUGCGCAGAUAUUAGGAGGAACACCGGUGGCGAAGGCGCCACUCUGGGCCGAAACUGACGCUGAGGAGCGAAAGCGUGGGUAGCAAACAGG